AUUGAACGCUGGCGGCAGGCUUAACACAUGCAAGUCGAGCGGGGGAAGGUAGCUUGCUACCGGACCUAGCGGCGGACGGGUGAGUAAUGCUUAGGAAUCUGCCUAUGAGUGGGGGACAACAUCUCGAAAGGGCUCCUAAUACCGCCUACGCCCGACGGGACAAAGCAGGGGAUCUUCGGACCUUACGCUAAUAGAUGAGUCGAAGACGGAUUAGCUAUUUGGUGGGGUAAAGGCCUACCAAGGCGACGAUCGGUAGCGGGUCUGAGAGGAUGAUCCGCCACACUGGGACUGAGACACGGCCCAGACUCCUACGGGAGGCAGCAGUGGGGAAUAUUGGACAAUGGGGGGAACCCUGAUCCAGCCAUGCCGCGUGUGUGAAGAAGGCCUUAUGGUUGUAAAGCACUUUAAGCGAGGAGGAGGCUACUCUAGUUAAUACCUAGGGAUAGUGGACAUUACUCGCAGAAUAAGCACCGGCUAACUCUGUGCCAGCAGCCGCCGCAG
rnacentral:rRNA from 1 species